rnacentral:rRNA from 1 species
UUGAGCGUUUCCAGCCAACACGGAGACGCAGCGCACAGCUCAGUAACACGUGGCUAAUCUGCCCUUGGGACCGGAGCACCCCCGGGAAACUGGGGCUAAUUCUCGAUAGGUGAAGAACUCUGGAAUGAGUCUUUGCCAAAAAGAUGCUAGAGUUAUGCUCUUUGGCAUCGCCCAAGGAUGAGGCCGCGACCGAUCAGGUUGUUGGUGAGGUAAUGGCUCACCAAGCCUUUUACCGGUGCGGGCCGUGAGAGCGGGAGCCCGGAGAUGGGCACUGAGACAAGGGCCCAGGCCCUACGGGGCGCAGCAGUCGCGAAAACUUUGCAAUACACGAAAGUGUGACAGGGCUAUCCCGAGUGCCAUCCGCUGAGGAAGGCUUUUACCCAGUCUAGAACGCUGGGGGAAUAAGGAGAGGGCAAGUCUGGUGUCAGCCGCCGCGGUAAUACCAGCUCUCCGAGUGGUGUGGAUGUUUAUUGGGCCUAAAGCAUCCGUAGCUGGCUAAGUUAGUCCCUUGUUAAAUCCACCGAAUUAAUCGUUGGAUUGCGGGGGAUACUGCUUGGCUAGGGGACGAGAGAGGCAGACGGUAUUUCCGGGGUAGGGGUGAAAUCCUAUAAUCCCGGGAAGACCACCAGUGGCGAAGGCUGUCUGCUAGAACGCGCCCGACGGUGAGGGAUGAAAGCUGGGGGAGCGAACCGGAUUAGAUACCCGGGUAGUCCCAGCUGUAAACGAUGCAGGCUAGGU